rnacentral:rRNA from 1 species
GAUCUUCCACAAUGGGCGAAAGCCUGACGGAGCAACGCCGCGUGAGUGAUGAAGGUCUUCGGAUCGUAAAACUCUGUUAUUAGGGAAGAACAAAUGUGUAAGUAACUGUGCACGUCUUGACGGUACCUAAUCAGAAAGCCACGGCUAACUACGUGCCAGCAGCCGCGGUAAUACGUAGGUGGCAAGCGUUAUCCGGAAUUAUUGGGCGUAAAGCGCGCGUAGGCGGUUUCUUAAGUCUGAUGUGAAAGCCCACGGCUCAACCGUGGAGGGUCAU